rnacentral:rRNA from 1 species
UAGUCCACGCUGUAAACGAUGUUCACUCGCUGUCGGCGAUACACAGUCGGCGGCUGAGCGAAGGCAUUAAGUGAACCACCUGGGGAGUACGAUCGCAAGGUUGAAACUCAAAGGAAUUGACGGGGGCCCGCACAAGCGGAGGAACAUGUGGUUUAAUUCGAUGAUACGCGAGGAACCUUACCUGGGCUUAAAUGUAGAUUGCAUAAUUUAGAAAUAGAUUUUCCCUUCGGGGCUAUUUACAAGGUGCUGCAUGGUUGUCGUCAGCUCGUGCCGUGAGGUGUCGGGUUAAGUCCCAUAACGAGCGCAACCCUCAUCGUUAGUUGCCAGCGAGUAAUGUCGGGAACUCUAACGAAACUGCCGGUGUAAACCGUGAGGAAGGUGAGGAUGACGUCAAAUCAGCACGGCCCUUAUGUCCAGGGCUACACACGUGUUACAAUGGUCGGUACAAAGGGCAGCUACCUGGUGACAGGAUGCUAAUCUCGAAAACCGAUCUCAGUUCGGAUCGAAGU